GACGAACGCUGGCGGCGUGCCUAAUACAUGCAAGUUGAGCGCUGAAGGUUGGUACUUGUACCAACUGGAUGAGCAGCGAACGGGUGAGUAACGCGUGUGGAAUCUGCCUUUGAUCGGGGGACAACAUUUGGAAACGAAUGCUAAUACCGCAUAAAAACUUUAAACACAAGUUUUAAGGUUGAAAGAUGCAAUUGCAUCACUCAAAGAUGAUCCCGCGUUGUAUUAGCUAGUUGGUGAGGUAAAGGCUCACCAAGGCGAUGAUACAUAGCCGACCUGAGAGGGUGAUCGGCCACAUUGGGACUGAGACACGGCACAAACGCCUACGGGAGGCAGCAGUAGGGAAACUUGGGCAAUGGACGAAAGACUGAGCGCGCAACGCCGAGUGAGUGAAGAAGGUUUUCGCAUCGUAAAACUCGGUUGGUAGAGAAGAAAGUUGGUGAGAGUGGAAAGAUCAUCAAGUGACGGUAACUACUCAGAAAGGGACGGCUAACUACGUG
rnacentral:rRNA from 1 species